UGCCACUGUGAUGACAUUUUAUUUGCUACUCUUGACUGUGGGAAUGACGAGAAUUCUAUUACCACCAAUAAUGCAACUGAGGCU